rnacentral:piRNA from 1 species
UACAGAUAAGAGAUUUUUAAUUUGGUGGA